UUUCUAUGUUAGUAUGUGAAGGCACAUGAUUUAGUAGUUAGGGUAAUUGGCUCACAAUCGCAAGGUUGUGAGUUUGAUUCCUGGCUGCGCCAUUAUGUUCUUGAGCAAGACACUUUAUUUCAUGUUUCUCCA